rnacentral:rRNA from 1 species
GACGAAGCGUAAGUGACGGUACCUAUAGAAGAAGCACCGGCCAACUACGUGCCAGCAGCCGCGGUAAUACGUAGGGUGCGAGCGUUGUCCGGAAUUACUGGGCGUAAAGCGUGCGCAGGCGGACUUUUAAGCCAGAUGUGAAAGCCCCGAGCUUAACUUGGGAAUUGCGUUUGGAACUGGGAGUCUAGAGUCUGUCAGAGGGGGAUGGAAUUCCACGUGUAGCAGUGAAAUGCGUAGAGAUGUGGAGGAACACCGAUGGCGAAGGCAGUCCCCUGGGAUAAGACUGACGCUCAUGCACGAAAGCGUGGGGAGCAAACAGGAUUAGAUACCCUGGUAGUCCACGCCCUAAACGAUGUCUACUAGUUGUUGGGGUAGCAAUACCUCAGUGACGCAGCUAACGCGUGAAGUAGACCGCCUGGGGAGUACGGUCGCAAGAUUAAAACUCAAAGGAAUUGAC